ensembl:lncRNA
GUAAGUCGCUUCAGUCGUGUCCGACUCUGAGUGAGCCCGUAGACAGCAGCCCACCAGGCUCCCCCAUCCCUGGGAUUCUCCAAGGUUACACCAAGUGGCACACAGGUUUCUUAGUACGCAGUGUGGUGCCCCAAGGAUGAAAGAACAAGGAAAAAACAGUGACCCAGUCCACCUCUCCUAUUCCCCAACAUUAUGAAGUCUGCUUUCAGUCUUCCUCACUCAGAAACUGUCUUUGCUGCAUUCAUCAGUAGCCUCUUCAUUGAGAAAGCAGCUGGGCCCCGUAGAGUCUCUUCACAGGCACGGCUGUUGAUUAUUUCACCUGACAUGCUGCCAUCUAGGCCUCCCCAACAGCACUCUGACCUGGUUUUGCAAGGAGCUUCUCAGACCACUAAACCCCUUUCCCAUGUCAGAGCCUCCUUUUAAGUCCCCCAAACAUAGGAGUUGCUAAGUGUUCUGAUGCUGAUCCCACUGCCUCCCUUCCAUCUAGAAUCUUGC